AUUGAACGCUGGCGGCAUGCUUUACACAUGCAAGUCGAACGGUAACAGGGUGCUUGCACCGCUGACGAGUGGCGAACGGGUGAGUAAUGCGUCGGAACGUGCCGAGUAGUGGGGGAUAACGCAGCGAAAGUUGUGCUAAUACCGCAUACGUACUGAGGUAGAAAGUGGGGGACCUUCGGGCCUCACGCUAUUCGAGCGGCCGACCUCUGAUUAGCUAGUAGGUGAGGUAAAGGCUCACCUAGGCGACGAUCAGUAGCGGGUCUGAGAGGAUGAUCCGCCACACUGGGACUGAGACACGGCCCAGACUCCUACGGGAGGCAGCAGUGGGGAAUUUUGGACAAUGGGCGAAAGCCUGAUCCAGCCAUGCCGCGUGCCUGAAGAAGGCCUUCGGGUUGUAAAGGACUUUUGUCAGGGAGGAAAUCCCUAGUGCUAAUAACACUGGGGGAUGACAGUACCUGAAGAAUAAGCACCGGCUAACUACGUGCCAGCCGCCGCAGUAA
rnacentral:rRNA from 1 species